CCUACGGGCGGCAGCAGUGGGGAAUAUUGCACAAUGGGCGCAAGCCUGAUGCAGCCAUGCCGCGUGUGUGAAGAAGGCCUUCGGGUUGUAAAGCACUUUCAGCGGGGAGGAAGGCGGUGAGGUUAAUAACCUCAUCGAUUGACGUUACCCGCAGAAGAAGCACCGGCUAACUCCGUGCCAGCAGCCGCGGUAAUACGGAGGGUGCAAGCGUUAAUCGGAAUUACUGGGCGUAAAGCGCACGCAGGCGGUCUGUCAAGUCGGAUGUGAAAUCCCCGGGCUCAACCUGGGAACUGCAUUCGAAACUGGCAGGCUAGAGUCUUGUAGAGGGGGGUAGAAUCCCAGGUGUAGCGGUGAAAUGCGUAGAGAUCUGGAGGAAUACCGGUGGCGAAGGCGGCCCCCUGGACAAAGACUGACGCUCAGGUGCGAAAGCGUGGGGAGCAAACAGGAUUAGAUACCCCAGUAGUC
rnacentral:rRNA from 1 species